AACCCAUUUGUUGCUACAGCAACAGAAGCUGGCUCUGGGCUAAAGGGCUUAACACAGAGAUAUGUCAAGAUAGAAAGAUCCAAACACACACUUUCCAUUGUCUAAUUCAGUGCCUUCUAUUGGCACAAGGUAAACAGAAAAAAGGCAACCAUAGAUGCACACCGUGUGGUUAGACCUACAAAAUAUCUGAUUCUGAAAACAGCUCUACAAAACAGCUAAGCGCUUUGUACACUUUUUUUAAAACACCUUUUUGACACCGUCAAAAUUUUGCAUUGCAUUUCUUUAUAUUUCAUUCAAUCAUUGAAAAGUUUCCCCCUCUGAAUGCACAGCGGUGCCAUGCUGACGCUCGCAGAGGAGGAUUCAGCAGAACAUGUUAGUGUCAUCAUCUAAAUCCACUUCAGGGCACUUUUAGAGGUGGCCAAGGCAAACCAACUAUUCUGUUAAGUCUGUCUGACAUUAAAGGGUUUGAAUGAUUGACAUCAAUUAUCCUGCACAUGAGUGAGUUGAGUCUCCAAACCUGCUGAAUCCAGUACAGAAAAUAAAGUAGCCUAGCUGUUAAUGCCUGGUUGUAAUUUAGGUUCAUCAGAAGUCUGUAGAAAGAUAAGAGGGCUGAGAGAGGAUAUGUAGCUGAUAUGAGGACAUGUACAAGUUCUUUGUGCUGUUUGUCGUCUUUCCAUCUUCACUGUGUGUAUCUAUAGAGACCUGUGGUUUUGAACAGUCCUAGUCAGUGCCAACUAUCACUUACAGGGUUGACAGCGAGGCAUCCAGAGCAGCCAGUCGCAACUAUGUCACUGAGAGGGGGGAGGGGAGAGGAGGGGAGGGGGUGGAGCCAUGUUGAGUACUUGCAUGGUCUGUAAAAAAGGGGGGCGGGGGUCAACUUGUUCUAUUGCACAUACAUCUCUGCCUUUUCUUCAUUUCUGGCUUCCAAAUAAUCUCACAGUUAUAAACAGGCAGCAAGUAGCAUUAUUUUUUUGUUUUCUGUUUAAAUAAAAAAAAAAAAAAAAAAAAAAAAAAAA